GACGAACGCUGGCGGCGUGCUUAACACAUGCAAGUCGAACGGAAAGGCCCUGCUUUUGUGGGGUGCUCGAGUGGCGAACGGGUGAGUAACACGUGAGUAACCUGCCCUUGACUUUGGGAUAACUUCAGGAAACUGGGGCUAAUACCGGAUAGGAGCUCCUGCCGCAUGGUGGGGGUUGGAAAGUUUCGGCGGUGGGGGAUGGACUCGCGGCUUAUCAGCUUGUUGGUGGGGUAGUGGCUUACCAAGGCUUUGACGGGUAGCCCGCCUGAGAGGGUGACCGGCCACAUUGGGACUGAGAUACGGCCCAGACUCCUACGGGAGGCAGCAGUGGGGAAUAUUGCACAAUGGGCGGAAGCCUGAUGCAGCAACGCCGCGUGCGGGAUGACGGCCUUCGGGUUGUAAACCGCUUUCGCCUGUGACGAAGCGUGAGUGACGGUAAUGGGUAAAGAAGCACCGGCUAACUACGUG
rnacentral:rRNA from 1 species